UACGUAGGGUGCAAGCGUUAAUCGGAAUUACUGGGCGUAAAGCGUGCGCAGGCGGUUUUCCAAGACAGAUGUGAAAUCCCCGGGCUCAACCUGGGAAUGGCAUUUGUGACUGGAAGGCUAGAGUGUGUCAGAGGGGGGUAGAAUUCCACGUGUAGCAGUGAAAUGCGUAGAGAUGUGGAGGAAUACCGAUGGCGAAGGCAGCCCCCUGGGCCAAUACUGACGCUCAUGCACGAAAGCGUGGGGAGCAAACAGG
rnacentral:rRNA from 1 species